GAUACAAUAUGUAGGUGAGAGAGACAUUUGGAGCGUGAAGAGCUGGGCUUCAGGCAGUUGUCUUUAAACAAGAUCGGGGUGGAUCUUCAGAUACAAGGGGCUUGUGCAUGGAGACAUUAGGCCUUCACAUUGUCACUUGUUUCCCCCAACGUCUUGCCUCCAAUGGGAUCCCUUCACCUGCAUCUGUUCCUAGAACAGCAGAAAGGAGAUGCCUAAUACUCCUCUAAUGACAAAAGUUCUGACUGCCUUCCAGCUACUAAUCCCUGCAGACCCAUUGCCUGGCAACUGCAACAGCAUAAUAUUUAGGAGAUCAAUGCCAGGAGAACAGUUCAGAAAACAAAUUUCAUUCCAUCCAAGACAACGCAGUUGGAGGCGUCCAACAAACCCAAGCUUUGUGUCUUUCAGCCAGUGAGAAAAUGCAAAUUACUGGCAAACAUAAUGCAGUACUCACGGAUGGACCAACACGGCCUACUUCACCAGGAAGUCCUGCUACACCAGGGGGACCCUACAAUAACCAAAUCUGAAGAAAUGAAAAUGAUACUUUGACUUCAUCUAAAAUAUCAUCCUUAUGAAACCCAAAGUCUCAGAUCCUCUUCAAGAUCUCCAGCUAGAGUUCACCAACCAACAAAGAGGAGGCAGGGAAGGGGAGUGGAAAUGAAACAGCUUUAGGGAUCGUGCCACAGCAGC